rnacentral:piRNA from 1 species
UGAAACUUUCGGGCUAGUUCAUGGU